UACAGAGGUCCCAAGCGUUGUUCGGAUUCACUGGGCGUAAAGGGUGCGUAGGCGGUCGGGUAAGUCUGAUGUGAAAUCUCACAGCUUAACUGUGAAACUGCAUUGGAUACUAUCCGGCUCGAGGAAUGGAGGGGAGACUGGAAUACUUGGUGUAGCAGUGAAAUGCGUAGAUAUAAAGUGGAACACCAGUGGCGAAGGCGAGUCUCUGGACAUUUCCUGACGCUGAGGCACGAAAGCCAGGGGAGCAAACGGG
rnacentral:rRNA from 1 species